CACCACUCAAGCCUCGCUUGGUAUUGGGCGACGCGGUACGCCGCGCGCCUCAAAUCUUUCGGCUGGGUCUGAAUCGUCCCUCAGCGUUGUGGAAACUAUUCGCUAAAGGGUUCGCUUUCGGUCACGCCGUUAAACAAAACCAUUUUCAUUAAA
rnacentral:misc_RNA from 1 species